CAGCAGCCGCGGUAAUACGUAGGGGGCAAGCGUUAUCCGGAAUAACUGGGCGUAAAGGGUGCGCAGGUGGUUUAACAAGUUAGUGGUGAAAGGCAUAGGCUCAACCAAUGUAAGCCAUUAAAACUGUUUAACUUGAGUGCAGGAGAGGAAAGUGGAAUUCCUAGUGUAGCGGUGAAAUGCGUAGAGAUUAGGAGGAACACCAGUGGCGAAGGCGGCUUUUUGGCCUGUAACUGACACUGAGGCGCGAAAGCUAGGGGAGCAAAUGGGAUUAGAGACCCCUGUAGUCCCUGUCUCUUAUACA
rnacentral:rRNA from 1 species